CAAUAGCAUAUAUUAACGUUGUUGCAGUUGAAAAGCUCGUAGUUGAACUUUUGGUAGGAGCGACCUGGCCUUGGGCGCAUGCCCUUGUUUGCCGUGUGUCGUAUCCGGCCAUCCUUUUCCGUUUCGGCGGGAAUCUUUUACUGUGAGUAAACUGGAGUGCUCAAAACAAGACGUUUGUUUGGUACAUUAAAGCAUGGAAUAAUAAGAUAGGACCUGGUUACUAUUUUGUUGGUUUGCAUAGCUAGGUAAUGAUUAACAGGGACAGUUGGGGGUAUUCGUAUUUAAUUGUCAGAGGUGAAAUUCUUGGAUUUAUGAAAGACGAACGACUGCGAAAGCAUUUACCAAGGAUGUUUUCAUUAA
rnacentral:rRNA from 1 species